GGCGAUGGUCGUUAGAGGCGGGUUAAGGUUUGAUUUUUAAUUCUGGACUGGACUCGAAAUAUACGUACACUUUGGAUGCUUCUUUGAUUCUCUGCAUAUUGGAUAAAGAGGUUAAUACUAUUUUCUACGGCAAAGAGAAGUCUGCCCCGCCGGGGGAAAAAUAAUCCCUUUUAAUAUUAGAUUCGAGUUUUUUUUUUUUUUUUUCUAAGUCCGAGAAAGUCGAUUUCCAAGUCUCUUAAAUCAAGUGGCAAGUGUUUUUAAUUUUUUGAGAAGAUUAAAUAUAUAUAUGUAUAUAUACAGACGAGAGAAUUCUC